rnacentral:rRNA from 1 species
CAAUAGUGUAUACUAAAGUUGCUGCAGUUAAAAAGCUCGUAGUUGGAUUUCGGAUUGUAGUGAUACGGUCAAUACAACAAGUAUUCGAACUGUUGAAUUACUUCCUUCUUAUCUACAUAUUCAUAUUUGGAUUGUAGAUUCUUUUACUUUGAGAAAAUUAGAGUGUUCAAAGCAGGCGUAACCAAGCCUUUGAAUAGAUUAGCAUGGGAUAAUGAAAUAAGACUUUUUGCCUUAUUUUCGUUGGUCAUUAGGGCUAAAGUAAUGAUUAAUAGGGAUAGUUGGGGUCAUUAGUAUUUAGUUGUCAGAGGUGAAAUUCUAAGAUUUACUAAAGACUAACUAGUGCGAAAGCAUUUGACAAGGAUGUUUNCAUUAA